GACGAACGCUGGCGGCGUGCUUAACACAUGCAAGUCGAACGGAAAGGCCUUGCUUUUGUGGGGUGCUCGAGUGGCUAACGGGUGAGUAACACGUGAGUAACCUGCCCUUUACUUUGGGAUAACUUCAGGAAACUGGGGCUAAUACCUGAUAGGAGCUCCUGCUGCAUGGUGGGGGUUGGAAAGUUUCGGCGGUUGGGGAUGGACUCGGGGCUUAUCAGCUUGUUGGUGGGGUAGUGGCUUACCAAGGCUUUGACGGGUAGCCGGCCUGAGAGGGUGACCGGCCACAUUGGGACUGAGAUACGGCCAAGACUCAUACGGGAGGCAGCAGUGGGGAAUAUUGCACAAUGGGCGGAAGCCUGAUGCAGCAACGCCGCGUGCGGGAUGACGGCCUUCGGGUUGUAAACCGCUUUCGCCUGUGACGAAGCGUGAGUGACGGUAAUGGGUAAAGAAGCACCGGCUAACUACGUG
rnacentral:rRNA from 1 species